GGGCUGUUUGGGUCUGGUGGAGUUAAAAACAAGCUGUGAAUGGGGAGGAAGAAAAGGAAGCUGCUCACAUCCUGUGCUCUCUGACCAGAAUACCCAGUUAGUUCAGGAAGUUUUCAACCAGUCAGUGUCCGAGACACCUCAGUGGGCUUUUCACUUGAGGUUGUACAGACAGGACAAGGGAAGCCUUUGAAGCACAGAUUCUGGAGGCAGAUAUCCAUAGCUUUGAACAAUGGAUAUGUGAUACUGUAACAACAACAAUAAUAAAAUUAACACUGGUGAAAAUUGUUGACAGCCUGGGACACAGCUCAGCAAGAGACGAAUGAAGUAGUUUCUUGUGGGGUGUCGUGGGAGGAAAGUUGGAGUUGAAGAGACUAAAGUAACUUCCAAUUGUAGAAGCUCUGAUUCCACGAAGGAAGAAGGUGACCUUGGAAAAUGUGUUGUCUAUGGAGAACCCAUCAUGAGACAGCUGCUGUCCUAGCAAGAGGGCGCAUCAGCAAACAAGACACACCUGCUCCCCUGCCUGCCUGGACCACAUGUUCUGGAUACUAACUUUCAUCCUUUGGUGCUGGUGAUGUAGAGUGAUGCUAAGUUACACUAUACAUCCUGUUGAGUCUGCAUAUGGUGGUACUAUUUUAAAACUGUGAAAACACAUCUGAACAGGCCCAGGCCUCAGGGUACUAAGACAGCCCAAGGGUUGGCACCCAUCACAGUGGCCAGCUGUGCCCUGCUGCUAGUUUGGUGGCACAGGCGGUUGAGCGCAGCUCUGUGAAGCUGUCUGCAGCCUCUGCAGUGCCGUUUCGAUCCCCACCGGCCUCAGAGCAACCCACAUGGUGCGGCAGACCUCUCCUGACUCAUGCCCUGCUCCCCUCAGCAGUGUAUUUCGUCAGUCUGCCUGUCUGUUCCCCGCUCUGUCUCUGGUGAAUCCUCUCACCCUCCCACGCAUCUGGCUUG